UUCCCCUGAGAGAGAAACACCCACCACACUGCAAAAAAAACCAACCACCUAACCCAGUUAAACAUAUCUCUUAUUAUUUGAACUUUAAUCAAACAUAUCCUAUCAAAACGCCUGCUUAGUGAAUGUUAGUUUUGUUAUUUUCCAAUGCAGCUGGUAUUUUUAUUCUGGUAACGUUUUUUUACUAAGACUAAUGAGUAAUUGCUGACCAUUUUUGAAGAUACAGGAUGAAAAACCGUAAAUUUAAUUAAGCUUUAUUGGAAAUAAGUAGGAUGGUCUCACUUUUCCUGUUUCAGCCAUAGACAUAGUCAUCCUACCUGAUGGACAAAUACAUCAACCGGCUCGUCCAGUGGCACUCCCUCACGGUUGGUCAUGGACAGGAACCCGAAGCCCAUGCGGACAUUGAACCAUUUACACACGCCGACCCCGUGGAAAGACUGUGAAUCCUCCUCGGUGCUUGGUCCCUCAUCCUCCUCGGUCUUACACACUCCUGCAAUGAAAAGUGUGUGUAAUUAAAAGAAAAUCAGCAUACUGUUGUUAGUGUGCUGAUGUUUAAAACGCAGACACUGUUUCCCCAAAAGUGCAUUUGAACAAGGUUUUAAAACGCGAAAAACUUUAUUCCUUUCUCUGGCGUUGCAACAUCAUCAAUCAAUAUGAAUCAAUAAAAUGAGUAACAUAC